CUUCUCUCUUGAAUGAUUUUGCUUUUGGUUGGUGAAGAGUAGUUGAGAAGCACUUAAGAGCUCCCUUUUAUAGCCCAAAAAGCAAAUAUAGCCGUUAGAGAUAAAGUAGAGAAGAUUUGAAAUUCAAAUCAAACCUGAAAAGCUGUCAGUCGCAUCCCAGGCGCUCCGGGGACGUCUCCGCUACAACGAGAGACGUCUUGCCUACAGGAUUUUACUUUUUACUUUAUCUGGGGUCGACUCGGCACUUUACGGGGACGUCUCGGCGUGUUAGCGCUUUUUGAGUGGGGACGACUCCGCUGCUUUGGGGACGACUCCGCUUCUUUAUCUCCGAAAAUCAUGUCCUCUGGAAUUUCCUGAGAGAGUCGACUCCGCUUUUUCAGGGGACGUCUCCGCUUGUCUGCACUUUAUGCGUGGGGACGACUCCGCUUUCUCAGGGUCGACUCCGCUUCCUUAUCACCGAAAAAACCAUUCUCUGGAAAACCCUGAGAAAGCCGUCUCCGCCAUCUUGGGGACGACUCGGGAAGUCUCCUUUUUGCUUGCGGGGACGACUCCGCGUACAGCGGGGACGUCUCGCGCAUAUCCCUUGAAAAGCGUCUUUCU
rnacentral:lncRNA from 1 species